rnacentral:rRNA from 1 species
AGUGAACGCUGGCGGUAGGCCUAACACAUGCAAGUCGAACGGCAGCACAGUAAGAGCUUGCUCUUACGGGUGGCGAGUGGCGGACGGGUGAGGAAUACAUCGGAAUCUACUUUUUCGUGGGGGAUAACGUAGGGAAACUUACGCUAAUACCGCAUACGACCUACGGGUGAAAGCAUGGGAUCUUCGGACCUUGCGCGAUUGAAUGAGCCGAUGUCGGAUUAGCUAGUUGGCGGGGUAAAGGCCCACCAAGGCGACGAUCCGUAGCUGGUCUGAGAGGAUGAUCAGCCACACUGGAACUGAGACACGGUCCAGACUCCUACGGGAGGCAGCAGUGGGGAAUAUUGGACAAUGGGCGCAGGCCUGAUCCAGCCAUACCGCGUGGGUGAAGAAGGCCUUCGGGUUGUAAAGCCCUUUUGUUGGGAAAGAAAAGCAGCAGGUUAAUACCCCGCUGUUCUGACGGUACCCAAAGAAUAAGCACCGGCUAACUUCGUG